CAAACAAAUGGUGGAACUCCCCAACACUUCAACAAACCGAAACAGCUGAGAAAAGCUCUGAAAGACAGAGCCAAUCACUCAAGGACAGCAGCCCAAACAGUUCCAACAGAUCAAAAGAGCCUCUAGAUCGACAUGAGGAAAAAGCCCAAGGUCCAAGGAUAGCCGGAAAUUUACAAGAGUCAGACUUUCUUCAAGUCAAAAACAAAAUCCAGCCACUCAUUUCUGUGCUUCACUACCUGACAGGGGAAGCUGUGGCUGGAGUAAAGGAAUUCCACCAGCUACAUAGAACUGUACCGUCUUUCCUCUCCACCCAGGACUAAGGCACGAUUGCCAUACAAGAAAAAGCACCUUGCCAGUAUUGUUCAAAAUACUUGGGACUUGAAGCCAAGUCAGGACACCAUGUUGGCCUCUACAGUUGUAUCUGUUGAAGUGAUUAUGAGCUCUGAAGUAACUAUUAAAUUACCAAAGCAAGAGAGUGAAAAGACUUCAUUCCUGCUGGGCAGCAAACCUUGAGUUGGUAUUGAUUCAUUGACAACAGUGAUUUCUUUACUAGAAAUGAGCCAGGAAGCUGACAGAGAUCAUCGUGGGUUCCCUACAAUGAGUUCGGUAGCUGUCAUAAUAUUUUAUGACAAGCUGGGGCUUCAGUUUUUAACAGCUCUAUUAACCUGCCGUGCAACAUAUACAAAUCCAUAUCUAAUUGAUGUUAUCACCUUAUCACCAGUACUGUUACUUUAUUGGUUGGCUCUCAUUUCAUCUUUGUUUUCUUGAUCUUAUUCAACAAAGCUGGAAAGCUGACAUCAAUCAUGUUCACCAUCACCCCUCAGUAUGUGGUUCCCACACACUUCUUCCCUUCCUGUCACUCCACACUUGGAUCAGGAACUUCCCUUUCCUGGGCUAUGUUGAUUCAGAAAAGUGGGGAUCCUUGAGUACAAUGGAAGCUUUCCCUCUCAGCUCAGGUGAGCAUAACUUGGGGUGCUGGGGUCCCAGACAAACUAACAACCACUAAAGCAAUUCUAGGCCAGUGGCUCCCGGGUCUCUUGCCACAUGAAUUUUAAGAAUGAAUUUCAUGAACAGGAAGAGUGAGCUUAGAAAGGAGUUUUAUAAUACUACAGGUGGGAGCCUAAAUGAAAGAAGGCAGAGUUCCUGUACAGUGUGCAGGAGGCCCGGAAGUAGGAUGCCACUGAGGUGUUUAUAGCACUUCCACCAGAAACUGAGGUGCGGCAAGGGAUGGGAAAAUGCACUGGUUUGUCCAGGUGCCUCUCUGUUUUGAUCACGUCCUCACAUACAGUUUCCAGGCAGGGAUGAUCAUUUAGGGGAAGAGAGAUAAUAAACCAGUGAGAUUUAGAGAAAACAUGGUAAUAAACUCCCUUCAGGCAUUCCCAGCUUCUACUAAGAACAGACCUGUUGACAGGACUAAGAACAUUUCCAGCCUCUAUCCAAGGAUGAGUCAAAACUGUUCGUGUUUGGAGGCUCUGCCUGAACCUUUCUAUCACCUGUAUUCAUCAGCGUCAACAGCUGCCUAUGAGUGAUGGGACAGCAGGCCUUUUUCAUCAAGUGUAUUCUCUAGCCAAGUGAUUUUAAUUUUGACCCAAGACAGACGUGGUGCGUGAGCUUACGCAGAUGCCUUCCUUAGGUGCUCCUCACUGCAGGUUGAGGGGCUUACAGAGUCUCUCCCGCCUCACCAGCUCGCUCUCUGUUGUUGUCCAGACGUUUUCCUAUGGGCUGAAGUCUUAGGUUGACAGGACUAUGAGCUGAUUGGAAGUCCUAGAAUCUUUAGUAAGUGUAACCUACUGGGAGAGAGGUCUUCCAGACCAUGCCCUUGGAGAGAGCAUUGGGACCCAGCUCCCUCUCUUGUUUUGCUUCCUGGUUGCCAU